rnacentral:rRNA from 1 species
CCCCAGACUCCUACGGGAGGCAGCAGUGGGGGAUAUUGCACAAUGGGGGGAACCCUGAUGCAGCGACGCCGCGUGGGUGAAGGAGUGCUUCGGCAUGUAAAGCCCUAUCGGCAGGGAAGAAGCAAGACGGUACCUGACUAAGAAGCCCCGGCUAACUACGUGCCAGCAGCCGCGGUAAUACGUAGGGGGCAAGCGUUAUCCGGAUUCACUGGGUGUAAAGGGAGCGUAGACGGCGACGCAAGUCUGGAGUGAAAGCCCGGGGCCCAACCCCGGGACUGCUCUGGAAACUGCGUCGCUGGAGUACGGGAGGGGCAGGCGGAAUUCCUGGUGUAGCGGUGAAAUGCGUAGAUAUCAGGAGGAACACCGGCGGCGAAGGCGGCCUGCUGGACCGUGACUGACGUUGAGGCUCGAGAGCGUGGGGAGCAAACAGGAUUAGAUACCCCUGUA